GAUGAAGAACGUAGCGAAAUGCGAUACGUAAUGUGAAUUGCAGAAUUCAGUGAAUCAUCGAAUCUUUGAACGCAUAUUGCGCUCUCUGGUAUUCCGGAGAGCAUGCUUGUUUGAGUAUCAGUAAACACCUCAACUCCCUUUUCUUUUUUGAAAUGGGAGCUGGACUUGAGUGAUCCCAACACUUUUCUCACUGGAAGUGGCGGGUCACUUGAAAUGCAGGUGCAGCUGGACUUUUCUCUGAGCUAUAAGCAUAUCUAUUUAGUCUGCCUAAAAAACAGAUUAUUACCUUUGCUGCAGCUAACAUAAAGGAGAUGAGUUCUUGUGCUGACUGAUGCAGGAUUCACAGAGACAGCUUUGCGGCUGACUUUGUAAACUCGAUCUCAAAUCAAGUAAGACUACCCGCUGAACUUAAGCAUAUCAAUAAGCGGAGGA
rnacentral:misc_RNA from 1 species